rnacentral:lncRNA from 1 species
GAUAGGGUAGAGGCAGAAGUAGACGCAAUUAAACAUGAAGGAUUGUGAAGGCAAAAGAUGAACCAGCCAGCCUAGUCUCUGGAUGCAUAAGCUCCAAGUGUGGAGGAGACCCGGAGAGAAAAGCAGACUGUUCUCUGUGUUUACCUGUAAGCACAGGCCGCAACCUGCCAUGCUGUUUUUAAAUGCCCAAGAGCUGGUGACAAGAGGGUUUCCCUUUGCCAUCUGGACCUGAUUGCCUUAGAGCAUCCUACCCAGCUUCUAAUCUAAGCUCAAACACACCCUCCUUCAGGAAGAUUUGCUGUUCUACCUUCUCCCCACCAAGCAGAGUGAAGGGAUUCUUCUUUGGAACUCCCACUCUCCUUUAUUUAUCUCCAGAUGGAUGAAAAAGGAAGAGGGUUUCUGUUUUGCUAAAAGCCCUCUGUGAAAGUCGACAUUGCAAACCACAGUGACACGUGGAUAAAACUCACGUUGUUGGGGGGAGAAGAGCAAAACAUAUGCUUCACAAUAAAAACACUCAGUAUCCUAGGAAUAGGAGGGAACUUCCUCAACCAGAUAAAGGGCAUCUAUGAAAAACCCAGAGCUAACAUCACACUUAAUCGUGAAAGACUGAAAGCUUUCCCUCUAAAAUCAGAAACAAGAAAAGGAUGUCUACUACUGCCACUGCUAUUCAACAUUGUUCUGGAAAAUUCUAGGCAGAACAAGUAGGCAAGAGAAAAGAAGAGGUAUCCAGAUUGGAAAGGAAGAAAUAAAACUGUCUCUGUUUGACAGUUGUCAUAACCUUGUACAUAGAAGAUUAUGAAGAAGCUACCAAAAACUAUUUGAAUGACUAAACAAGUUUAGUAUGGUUGCAGGAUACAAGAUCAAUAUGCAAAAACCAGCUGUAGUUCUUCUAUAUGUUGAAAAGAAGAAAAUUUAGAACGAAAUUAAGAAAAAUUCAUUCAC